UCUUGGGGAUGUUCCUCCUUGGGUUUAUUUGAUAUGGUAUUCGUUGGGUUUCCUGGGUUUGAAUAAGUGAUUCCUUUCUCAUGUUAGAGAGGUAGGGAGGUUUUCCCGCUGUUAUCUCUAAAUAUUUUCUCUGGCCCUUUGUCUUCUACUGGCACCCCUGUAAUGCAAAUGUUGGUGCAUUUAAGGUUGUCUCAGAGUUCUCUUAGAUGCUCCCUAAUUCUUUUCAUUCUUUUUUCUUUAUUCUGUUUCACGUCAGUGAUUUCCACCAGUCAGUCUUCCACCUUGCUUAUUUGUUCUUCUGCCUCCGGUCAUCUGCUAUUGGUUCCUUCUAGUGAAUUUUUUAUUUUGUUAAUUAUAUUUUGAAUCUCUGCUUGUUUAAUCUUUAAAUCUUCUGUUUCGUUGUCCAAUCUUCUAUUUCUUUGUUCAGAUUGAUAAACUGAUUAAUUUAUCAGUUUUUUCCCAAGAUCUUGGAUCAUCUUUAACAUCAUAAUUCUGAAGUCUUUUUCAUCCAGUUCAUUUAGCUUUUUCUGAGGUUGCUUUAGUUCCCUUAUCUGGCUUAUAUUCCUCUGCCUUUUCACUUUGUACAGCUUUUUGGGUGGUCUCCUUUUUGCGGACAAUAGGGUUGUAGCCUCUUUUGCUUCUGAUGUCUGUCCCCCUCCUUGUGGCUGAACUUGGUAGGGGGCUUGCCUGUAGGCUUCCUGGUAGGUGGAGCUGAGUCUUGUCCCUCUGGUGGGUUGGGCUUUGUCUCUGGGUGACUGGAGGCAGCUGUCUGCCUGGGGGUUCUUUAGGCAGCCGGUUUGCUGAUGGGUGGGGUAUGUUCCCACCUAGUUUGUUGUUUGGCCUGGGGCUUCUCAGCCCUGAUGGGUGGGGUCAGGUUUUCCUGGAAAUGGCAGCCUCCACGGAUGCCCACAAUGCUCCGUGGCAGCCACCCUCCUUUUCCCAGGAGAUCCUUCAAGCCCUGCAGGCAGGUCUGACCUAGAUUCCUAUGGAGUCCCUGCUCUGCCCUGGGACCCAGUGCACAGGGAGACCUGAGUGUGCCCUUCAGAGUGGAGUCCCGUUUCCCCCAGUCCUGUGGAGCUCCUGUGCACAGGCCAGGCUGGCCCUCACUGCCAAAUGCUCCAGGGGCUCCUUCCCCCAGGGCCAGACCCCCAGGCAUGAGAACCCGACCUGGCCUCCGGGACUCUCAUUCCUGUGGGAGAGCUCCUGCCAUGUAGUUAUUUUCCAGUCUGCGUGUUGCCCACCCGGCAGGUGUGGGAUUGCUUAUAUCAUGAAAGCGGCCCUCCUGCUGCCUGCCGAUGUGGCCUCUUCUUUGUCUUUGGGUGUAGGAUAUCUUUUUUGGUAGUUUUCUAGUCUAUUUUAUUGAUGGUUGUUCAGCGGUAGUUGUGAUUUUGGUGUUUUUCGUGAGAGAAGGUGAGCUUAUUAAGCCCUACUUUGCCAUCUUCUGAACAGCUCGCAUUUGCCUUCUUGUUUAAUGCCUUUUUCUCCCUCAGGACUGGACUCCAUCAGGGCAAAGGCCGGAUCUGUUGUUUUCACAGAGUUCCCAGUCCUGGCACAUAUCUGGGUGUUGGCUGGACUGGGAUGGAUAAAUGAAGGAAUCGUCCCUGCCGCAGUAUCCCAUCUAUUUCAGUCACAUUCUUUAGAUGGUUCCCUUUUACCUGUAAGAUAAAUUCUUUGCCUUCUUUGACUUUCGUUAACUAAUUCACCACUUUCCCUGUCUAGCCUGCAUUGACUACAGUCAUGUGAAUCCCUGCUUAUCUCUAGUUUCCUCUAUAACAGCCAGGGUCUGCUCUUUCAGCCAGGGUCUGUGCUCUUUCUAGGCUCCGCCCCAGCUGCUCUCCUCUUGUCACUCUAAGUGCCUUUCCUGUUUCCCUAUCACUCUGCACACUACUUAGUACUGCAGUUAGGGUGACUCCGCCUGCUUUUCCAGCAGCAGAUACUGCCUUUUUUUUUUAUCCUUGUGAUGUCUUCUGGGCUUGUGAAUGUCCAGAGCCUGUGUACCUCGAAUACCCUUCCUUAUUGAGUGCUUGUCUUAGGCAUUGUGUUGGUUGUUUCUAUAUCUGUCGUCUUGCUGACUUGAGCUCGCUGGAUAAGGUGGGGUUUCCCUUUUUUCUGGUAGUUGAGCUUCAUGUAGUCCUGGGACUGUCCAUCCUGUUUCCUGUCACAUCCCUUGUCUGCAUAGUAACGUAGUGGACGGUAGGCAGCCUGUGGCAUGAAUAAAGUUCAGACGCACAAAUAGUCAAAGACAGGGUUUAAGUAGAGAAUAAAUAAUGUCAGGCACGUAAAGUGAAAGCCUUAAAAUAUUUAACCCAGCAAUUUUACUUCUAGAAAUCUACUUUAUGGAAAUAAUCCUAAGCAUAGGGAAAAAAUGUGGGAAUUCCCGAUGUGGCUCAGUGGUUUAAGAACCUGACAUAGUCUCCAUGAGGAUGUGGGUUCAGUCCCUGGCCUCACUCAGUAGGUUAAGGGUCCGGCGUUGCUGUGAGCUGUGGUGUAGGUUACAGAUGCCGUUCAGAUCCCACGUUGCUGUGGCUGUGGCGUAGGCUGGCAGCUGCAGCUCCAAUUUGACCCCUAGCCUGGGAACUUCCAGAUGCUGCAGGUGUGGCCCUAAAAAAAAGUGGGGGGAGGAAG
rnacentral:lncRNA from 1 species